rnacentral:rRNA from 1 species
ACAGCAGUCGCCGCGGGAACACGAAGGGUGCAAGCGUUACUCGGAAUUACUGGGCGUAAAGCGUGCGUAGGUGGUGGUUUAAGUCCGUUGUGAAAGCCCUGGGCUCAACCUGGGAAUUGCAGUGGAUACUGGGUCACUAGAGUGUGGUAGAGGAUAGUGGAAUUUCCGGUGUAGCAGUGAAAUGCGUAGAGAUCGGAAGGAACAUCUGUGGCGAAGGCGACUAUCUGGGCCAACACUGACACUGAGGCACGAAAGCGUGGGGAGCAAACAGGAUUAGAUACCCGAUUAGUCCCUGUCUCUUAUAC